GAGUGAACCGGGAUGAGCUCAAAUUUAAAAUCUGGCGUCUUUCAGGCGUCCGAGUUGUAAUCUAUAGAGGCGUUUUCCGCGCCGGACCGCGUCCAAGUCUCUUGGAAUAGAGUAUCAAAGAGGGUGACAAUCCCGUACUUGACGCGACAACCGGUGCUCUGUGAUACGUUCUCAAUGAGUCGAGUUGUUUGGGAAUGCAGCUCUAAAUGGGUGGUAAAUUCCAUCUAAGGCUAAAUAUUGGCGAGAGACCGAUAGCGAACAAGUACCGUGAGGGAAAGAUGAAAAGCACUUUGGAAAGAGAGUUAAACAGCACGUGAAAUUGUUAAAAGGGAAACGAUUGAAGUCAGUCGUGUGAAAGGUAUUCAGCCGUCUCUGGCGGUGUAUUUGCCUUUCACGGGUCAACAUCAGUUUGAUCCGGUAGAAAAAGGCAGGAGGAAGGUGGCACCCUCGGGUGUGUUAUAGCCUCUUGUCAUAUGUGCCGGACCAGACUGAGGAACGCAGCUUGCCGCAAGGCCGGGGUUCGCCCACGUACAAGCUUAGGAUGUUGACAUAAUGGCUUUAAACGACCCGUCUU
rnacentral:rRNA from 1 species